AGCUUGUAGAGAAUGAGUAGGGAUAACUGAUAAGGAUUUUCAAGCCAUGUGUUGGUUUUCAGCAACUCAAGUAGAAAUUGAUUUUCUUUUCUUUUUUUUGUUUUUGUUGUUGGCCCCUCUUAAGUUAUAUGCACGGCAUCUGCCGUUGUAUUUCCGAGGAGAUGAAAUCCGCCUCAGAUUUGCACAGGAAACUUGGCAAAGUAAUGCAGACUGAAACAAUAAAUUCCACCAAUCACAUCUUGGAAGAUCAUGGAAAGAGGAAAAAAGCACUACACAACACAGUUGAGAAGGCAGCGAACUUGGUGAUGGACAACUGGCGUUAUCAGCUAAAGGCAAGUUCCUCUCCUGUGUUAUUGUCAAGAGCCUAAGUGUGACAUAGUCCAAGCCGCACUGAUUUCAAGUUACAUACUAGGAGCCGUAUCACCACACACGUGCUCUAAAGAUGUUGCCAGGAUGGAAGCAGAGCCACUGUGAACCCUAGCCCAUGUGCCUUGCC
rnacentral:lncRNA from 1 species